UCCGAUAUGUGCAACUAUCCUACGACCUUCGAGUUUGAUACAAUCAAAGCUCAGUUGAAGGAGGCGGAGGGAGCCAUCUCCCAGCUGAUUGACAUCAAUGGCAAGUUGACGAAGAAAGCUGAACAUAUCGCUACAUCGACCGGUCUGGUUCAGGAACCGAACGAAACACAGAGCAAACACCGAAGGCAGAUAUCGGAACUUGCAGGCAGAAGUUCUGAGAAGAUCGGAAGGCUGGAGUUGGAGCUGCAGAAAAUCCAGUAUAUAUUUCUGAAACUCAGUGAAGAACAUGAUAACAAGAAACCG
rnacentral:misc_RNA from 1 species